rnacentral:tRNA from 1 species
GCGUAGGGAUUCGGGGGUGGUGACGAAUCCUGUCGUUCGGACCGACGGGGCUUCCCAAGCCACUAGCCCGGGUUCAAUUCCCGGCUGGCGCA